GACGAACGCUGGCGGCGUGCCUAAUACAUGCAAGUAGAACGCACAGUUUAUACCGUAGCUUGCUACACCAUAGACUGUGAGUUGCGAACGGGUGAGUAACGCGUAGGUAACCUGCCUGGUAGCGGGGGAUAACUAUUGGAAACGAUAGCUAAUACCGCAUAAUAUUAAUUAUUGCAUGAUAAUUGAUUGAAAGAUGCAACUGCAUCACUACCAGAUGGACCUGCGUUGUAUUAGCUAGUAGGUGAGGUAACGGCUCACCUAGGCGACGAUACAUAGCCGACCUGAGAGGGUGAUCGGCCACACUGGGACUGAGACACGGCCCAGACUCCUACGGGAGGCAGCAGUAGGGAAUCUUCGGCAAUGGACGAAAGUCUGACCGAGCAACGCCGCGUGAGUGAAGAAGGUUUUCGGAUUGUAAAGCUCUGUUGUAAGAGAAGAACGGGUGUGAGAGUGGAAAGUUCACACUGUGACGGUAUCUUACCAGAAAGGGACGGCUAACUACGUG
rnacentral:rRNA from 1 species